rnacentral:lncRNA from 1 species
GGCGGCAGGUUGAACCCGACGGUCAUCUCGACGUGGCCCGUCAGGCUCUUCCUCCCCUCCGGCCGCGGGUACAGCGUGCCGCGGACGGUCAGGGCGAGGUGCGACGGCAUGGCGUUGCUGUCCAGCCCGUUCAGCUUGUAGUCCGUCUGGGUUUCAGAGCUUCAGACUUCUGAACUUUUCUUUCUUUCUCAUGGAAAAUGCACGACGCCCCGCCCUCCUCUCCCCCCCCCCCGGCCGCGGGUACAGCGUGCCGCGGACGGUCAGGGCGAGGUGCGACGGCAUGGCGUUGCUGUCCAGCCCGUUCAGCUUGUAGUCCGUCUGGGUUUCAGAGCUUCAGACUUCUGAACUUUUCUUUCUUUCUCAUGGAAAAUGCACGACGAAAUGGGCAGCGAAUUCGUUACCACU